ACCACUUCUCAGCCUUUAGGCUAAGAUCAAGUGAAGUGUCUAUUCUUAUCCAUUUAAGAUCCGAUACAUCCUCUAUCUGAGGACAAUGCAAUAAAUGGAUUUUCAAAGCAGGGAGAAGGAAUGGGAGCUUGUUCUGUCCACUCUGCACACGGACGCUGUAUAGCAGUACUUCUAGGAACAGUGCACCGAAA